UACGGAGGGGGCUAGCGUUGUUCGGAAUUACUGGGCGUAAAGCGCGCGCAGGCGGUUCUUCAAGUCAGAGGUGAAAGCCCAGAGCUCAACUCUGGAAUGGCCUUUGAGACUAGAGAACUAGGGUACGGGAGAGGUGAGUGGAAUUCCGAGUGUAGAGGUGAAAUUCGUAGAUAUUCGCAAGAACACCAGUGGCGAAGGCGGCUCACUGGCCCGGUACUGACGCUGAGGUGCGAAAGCGUGGGGAGCAAACAGG
rnacentral:rRNA from 1 species